rnacentral:rRNA from 1 species
CCUACGGGUGGCAGCAGUGAGGAAUAUUGGUCAAUGGCCGUAAGGCUGAACCAGCCAAGUAGCGUGAGGGAAGACUGCCCUAUGGGUUGUAAACCUCUUUUAUGCGGGGAUAAAGGUGUCCACGUGUGGAUGUUUGCAGGUACCGCAUGAAUAAGGACCGGCUAAUUCCGUGCCAGCAGCCGCGGUAAUACGGAAGGUCCGGGCGUUAUCCGGAUUUAUUGGGUUUAAAGGGAGCGUAGGCGGCAUGUAAAGUCAGGUGUUAAAGGCGCAGGCUCAACCUGUGUAUGGCACUUGAUACUUGCAAGCUGGAAUGCGGUAGAGGUAAAGGGAAUUCCUGGUGUAGCGGUGAAAUGCUUAGAUAUCAGGAGGAACAUCGGUGGCGUAAGCGCUUUACUGGGCCGUAAUUGACGCUGAGGAACGAAAGCCAGGGUAGCAAAUGGGAUUAGAUACCCGAGUAGUC